CUACGGGUUGCUCCAGUCGAGGAUUUUUCUCAAUGGGGGCAACCCUGAAGGAGCGACGCCGCGUGGAGGAUGAAGGGCUUCGGCUCGUAAACUCCUGUCACCGACGAACAAGACAUCCGGAUUAAUAAAUCGGAUGUUUGAUGGUAGUCGGAGAGGAAGGGGCGGCUAACUCUGUGCCAGCAGCCGCGGUGAUACAGAGGCCCCAAGCGUUGUUCGGAUUUACUGGGCGUAAAGGGUGUGUAGGGGGUCGGGUAAGUUUGACGUGAAAUCCCGUUGCUCAACAACGGAACUGCGUCGAAUACUGCUCGGCUGGAGGUUCGGAGAUGAGGGCGGAAUUCUCGGUGUAGCGGUGAAAUGCGUAGAUAUCGAGAGGAACGCCGAUAGCGAAAGCAGCCCUCAAGACGAAAUCUGACCCUGAAACACGAAGGCCAGGGGAGCAAACGGGAUUAGAUACCCCCGUAGUC
rnacentral:rRNA from 1 species